UACGGAGGAUCCAAGCGUUAUCCGGAAUCAUUGGGUUUAAAGGGUCCGUAGGCGGUUUAAUAAGUCAGUGGUGAAAGCCCAUCGCUCAACGGUGGAACGGCCAUUGAUACUGCCAGACUUGAAUUAUUAGGAAGUAACUAGAAUAUGUAGUGUAGCGGUGAAAUGCUUAGAGAUUACAUGGAAUACCAAUUGCGAAGGCAGGUUACUACUAAUGGAUUGACGCUGAUGGACGAAAGCGUGGGUAGCGAACAGG
rnacentral:rRNA from 1 species